rnacentral:rRNA from 1 species
ACCGGCAGCUCAAGUGGUGGCCAUUAUUAUUGGGCCUAAAGCGUUCGUAGCCGGUUUGAUAAGUCUCUGGUGAAAUCCCGCAGCUUAACUGUGGGACUUGCUGGAGAUACUAUCAGACUUGAGGUCGGGAGAGGUUAGGGGUACUCCCAGGGUAGGGGUGAAAUGCUAUAAUCCUGGGAGGACCACCUGUGGCGAAGGCGCGUAACUGGGACGAGCCUGACGGUGAGUAACGAAAGCCAGGGGCGCGGACCA